GACGAACGCUGGCGGCGUGCUUAACACAUGCAAGUCGAACGGAAAGGCCCUGCUUUUGUUGGGUGCUCGAGUGGCGAACGGGUGAGUAACACGUGAGUAACCUGCCCUUGACUUUGGGAUAACUUCAGGAAACUGAGGCGAAUACCGGAUAGGAGCUCCUGCUGCAUUGUGGGGGUGGGAAAGGUUCGGCGGUUGGGGAUGGACGCGCGGCUUAUCAGCCUGUUGGUGGGGUAGUGGCUGACCAAGGCUUUGACGGGUAGCCGGCCUGAGAGGGUGACAGGCCACAUUGGGACUGAGAUACGGCCCAGACUCCUACGGGAGGGAGCAGUGGGGGAUAUUGCACAAUGGGCGGAAGCCUGAUGCAGCAACGCCGCGUGCGGGAUGACGGCCUUCGGGUUGUAAACCGCUUUCGCCUGUGACGAAGCGUGAGUGACGGUAAUGGGUAAAGAAGCACCGGCUAACUACGUG
rnacentral:rRNA from 1 species